rnacentral:rRNA from 1 species
GUGGGGAAUAUUGGACAAUGGGGGGAACCCUGAUCCAGCCAUGCCGCGUGUGUGAAGAAGGCCUUUUGGUUGUAAAGCACUUUAAGCGAGGAGGAGGCUACCGAGAUUAAUACUCUUGGAUAGUGGACGUUACUCGCAGAAUAAGCACCGGCUAACUCUGUGCCAGCAGCCGCGGUAAUACAGAGGGUGCAAGCGUUAAUCGGAUUUACUGUGCGUAAAGCGCGCGUAGGUGGCCAAUUAAGUCAAAUGUGAAAUCCCCGAGCUUAACUUGGGAAUUGCAUUCGAUACUGGUUGGCUAGAGUAUGGGAGAGGAUGGUAGAAGUCCAGGUGUAGCGGUGAAAUGCGUAGAGAUCUGGAGGAAUACCGAUGGCGAAGGCAGCCAUCUGGCCUAAUACUGACACUGAGGUGCGAAAGCAUGGGGAGCAAACAGGAUUAGAAACCCCAGUAGUCC